UCCGGGAGAGCACGGUCCAGAUAAAACAGCGGAACAAAACACAGACUAACGCAAACCUGCCCAAACGACGCCUUUGCCACGGCACGAAACCUACGGUGCAACACGUGUGAGCGCACACACCAUAACAAAGCCGCCAUUGUGGCCCAAAAGACGU
rnacentral:lncRNA from 1 species